CACAUACUUAACAAAAUGUCGCCGUUAUGUAACAGGUGCACAGAGAGCAUCAUGCUCUCUGGUCCACCUACAAAUUUACGGAUAGCAUCUAGCUAGGGCAAUGGUUGCCUUCUCCUAAAAAGAUCUUCCACCACUGCAAUGAAACACUGUAAUUUACAGUCAUGAAUAUAGCUUGAGAUUUAUAUGAUGGCUAAUUAGCAUGUAUAUUAGUAAAAGAAGAUUGACCCAAAGUAUGACAGAAAGGGAUGCCUAUGGGACAAUGAAAAGCAUACUAUUAAAGUUACUGCAAAACAUGGCUAUAUAUGUUGUGGAUCUUCACUUGGAACGUCCCUUGAGAAAAUACUCGGUAAUCCUACGCCUCUCCCCUACAGAGAGUGUAAAAUUCAUUGUCACUUAUUAGAAAACCUAGAAUUAUGAGCAAUAGUGGUUGUAUAAACCGAUGACAGAGACAAAAAACACAUACUUCGCAACGGAGUUGGAUUAUCAUAGGCCUUCAAAUAGGAUAUAAAAUAUUAAAAUGUAUAUCAUGCACCAAUUAUGAUUCAAUGACCAUAAGUAUAGUGUAGAACAGUGGCGGAGCCAGCUGGGGGGGACAUGGGGAUAGAUGUCCCCCACUUCUAAAAAAUAAUUUCUUAAAAAAAAAGGGAAAAAAAAACACGCUCAACAGUCAGGGACGCGUGAAAUGUUUUGAACAAAAAAAGCGUUGAAGAGUGAAGAGAGAGACUGAGGAAGAGAGAGAGUGAGAGUCUGAGGAAGAGAGCUUGAGGAAGAUGUCGACGGUCGACCGGAGAUUCUCAGUCGUCGAAGCCGACGACGACGACUGGUGAGGAACGAAGUCACGAACACUCGAACAGGAAGCGAAGCGAAGCGACGGCUGAACUCUGAAGCGAAGCGAAGCGAAGCCGGUGCACCGCCCACGCGUCGCCGUUGCCGACUACCUGACUCGCCGGCCGCCCGACUCCCGACGCCCAUUACAUUUUUCAGUCAAUUUGAAAUGUCAAGUGAUUCACAUUCAUCUAAUUCUAACAAGUUCAAGGCUAAGGGAAAACAACCCGAACUUCGACAAUUUUAAAGAAUGAAAUCCCAAGAAACUUCUUCACCCGCUCAUAGUGAAACACCUCAAACUGAAUCUCCUUCAUUUACCUCUCCUCAAACUCAUGAAUUUGUAAUUUUUAUUUUUAGUUUAAUUUUUUUUUUUGUCAUUUUUCUUAGAUUGUAAGACUAUAAGCAUUUUGAAAUUUUGAAUGUAAAACAUUAAGUAUUAAACAAUAUGUGUUGUAUUGUUUUUUUUA